rnacentral:rRNA from 2 species
AAAAAAGGUAAGCUACUAAGAGCGAAUGGUGGAUGCCUUGACUGGUAAAGGCGAUGAAGGACGUACUAGACUGCGAUAAGCUACGGGGAGCUGUCAAGAAGCUUUGAUCCGUAGAUUUCCGAAUGGGGCAACCCAAUGUAUAGAGAUAUACAUUACCUAUAUAGGAGCGAACGAGGGGAAUUGAAACAUCUUAGUACCCUCAGGAAAAGAAAUCAAUAGAGAUUGCGUCAGUAGCGGCGAGCGAAAGCGCAAGAGGGCAAACCCAGUGCUUGCACUGGGGGUUGUAGGACUGCAAUGUGCAAGAGGUGAGUUUAGCAGAACAUUCUGGAAAGUAUAGCCAUAGAGGGUGAUAGUCCCGUAUGCGAAAAACAAACCUUAGCUAGCAGUAUCCUGAGUAGGGCGGGACACGAGAAAUCCUGUCUGAAGCUGGGUCGACCACGAUCCAACCCUAAAUACUAAUACCAGAUCGAUAGUGCACAAGUACCGUGAGGGAAAGGUGAAAAGAACUGAGGUGAUCAGAGUGAAAUAGAACCUGAAACCAUUUGCUUACAAUCAUUCAGAGCACUAUGUAGCAAUACAGUGUGAUGGACUGCCUUUUGCAUAAUGAGCCUGCGAGUUGUGGUGUCUGGCAAGGUUAAGCAAACGCGAAGCCGUAGCGAAAGCGAGUCUGAAUAGGGCGCUUAGUCAGAUGCUGCAGACCCGAAACGAAGUGAUCUAUCCAUGAGCAAGUUGAAGCUAGUGUAAGAACUAGUGGAGGACUGAACCCAUAGGCGUUGAAAAGCCCCGGGAUGACUUGUGGAUAGGGGUGAAAGGCCAAUCAAACUUCGUGAUAGCUGGUUCUCUCCGAAAUAUAUUUAGGUAUAGCGUUGUGUCGUAAUAUAAGGGGGUAGAGCACUGAAUGGGCUAGGGCAUACACCAAUGUACCAAACCCUAUCAAACUCCGAAUACCUUAUAUGUAAUCACAGCAGUCAGGCGGCGAGUGAUAAAAUCCGUCGUCAAGAGGGAAACAACCCAGACUACCAGCUAAGGUCCCUAAAUCUUACUUAAGUGGAAAACGAUGUGAAGUUACUUAAACAACCAGGAGGUUGGCUUAGAAGCAGCCAUCCUUUAAAGAAAGCGUAAUAGCUCACUGGUCUAGUGAUUUUGCGCGGAAAAUAUAACGGGGCUAAAGUAAGUACCGAAGCUGUAGACUUGACUUUGUCAAGUGGUAGGAGAGCGUUCUAUUUGCGUCGAAGGUAUACCGGUAAGGAGUGCUGGAGCGAAUAGAAGUGAGCAUGCAGGCAUGAGUAGCGAUAAUUAAUGUGAGAAUCAUUAACGCCGUAAACCCAAGGUUUCCUACGCGAUGCUCGUCAUCGUAGGGUUAGUCGGGUCCUAAGUCGAGUCCGAAAGGGGUAGACGAUGGCAAAUUGGUUAAUAUUCCAAUACCAACAUUAGUGUGCGAUGGAAGGACGCUUAGGGCUAAGGGGGCUAGCGGAUGGAAGUGCUAGUCUAAGGUCGUAGGUGCUUAUACAGGCAAAUCCGUAUAAGAAUACACCGAGAACUGAAAGGCUUUUUGAAGUCUUCGGAUGGAUAGAAGAACCCCUGAUGCCGUCGAGCCAAGAAAAGUUUCUAAGUUUAGCUAAUGUUGCCCGUACCGUAAACCGACACAGGUGGGUGGGAUGAGUAUUCUAAGGCGCGUGGAAGAACUCUCUUUAAGGAACUCUGCAAAAUAGCACCGUAUCUUCGGUAUAAGGUGUGGUUCGCUUCGUAUUAGGAUUUACUCCGAAAGCGAAGAAACUUACAACAAAGAGUCCCUCCCGACUGUUUACCAAAAACACAGCACUCUGCUAACUCGUAAGAGGAUGUAUAGGGUGUGACGCCUGCCCGGUGCUCGAAGGUUAAUUGAUGGGGUUAGCGUAAGCGAAGCUCUUGAUCGAAGCCCGAGUAAACGGCGGCCGUAACUAUAACGGUCCUAAGGUAGCGAAAUUCCUUGUCGGUUAAAUACCGACCUGCAUGAAUGGCGUAACGAGAUGGGAGCUGUCUCAAAGAGGGAUCCAGUGAAAUUGUAGUGGAGGUGAAAAUUCCUCCUACCCGCGGCAAGACGGAAAGACCCCGUGGACCUUUACUACAGCUUGACACUGCUACUUGGAUAAGAAUGUGCAGGAUAGGUGGGAGGCUUUGAGUAUAUGACGCCAGUUGUAUAUGAGCCAUUGUUGAGAUACCACUCUUUCUUAUUUGGGUAGCUAACCAGCUUGAGUUAUCCUCAAGUGGGACAAUGUCUGGUGGGUAGUUUGACUGGGGCGGUCGCCUCCCAAAUAAUAACGGAGGCUUACAAAGGUUGGCUCAGAACGGUUGGAAAUCGUUCGUAGAGUAUAAAGGUAUAAGCCAGCUUAACUGCAAGACAUACAAGUCAAGCAGAGACGAAAGUCGGUCUUAGUGAUCCGGUGGUUCUGUGUGGAAGGGCCAUCGCUCAAAGGAUAAAAGGUACCCCGGGGAUAACAGGCUGAUCUCCCCCAAGAGCUCACAUCGACGGGGAGGUUUGGCACCUCGAUGUCGGCUCAUCGCAUCCUGGGGCUGGAGCAGGUCCCAAGGGUAUGGCUGUUCGCCAUUUAAAGCGGUACGCGAGCUGGGUUCAGAACGUCGUGAGACAGUUCGGUCCCUAUCUGCCGUGGGCGUAAGAAGAUUGAAGAGAUUUGACCCUAGUACGAGAGGACCGGGUUGAACAAACCACUGGUGUAGCUGUUGUUCUGCCAAGAGCAUCGCAGCGUAGCUAAGUUUGGAAAGGAUAAACGCUGAAAGCAUCUAAGCGUGAAGCCAACUCUAAGAUGAAUCUUCUCUAAGCUCUCUAGAAGACUACUAGUUUGAUAGGCUGGGUGUGUAAUGGAUGAAAGUCCUUUAGCUGACCAGUACUAAUAGAGCGUUUGGCUUAUCUUUAAUAAAGCAU